rnacentral:misc_RNA from 2 species
UGUGGGAGCGAGCUUGCUCGCGAUAGCGGUAUGUCAGCCAGCAUGUGAAGUGACUGAUACACCGCCAUCGCGAGCAAGCUCGCUCCCACA